UGGACAAUUGCUAUUUACUUUGAUUUAAAUCACAAAUGUUUGAAGAGUUCUCUUGACAGACAUAACAUUCUCUGUGUUCAGAAAUCAGUGAAGCAGAAUCUGCUUAUGCUCAGCUUUGGAAAUAAAUAGGGUUGCUCACGUAUUAGAGGCUAAACGUGCUGGUGUAUUUGUGUGAUCCGAGAUAGAGAUAGGAAUAUUGCAGUGAAGUCCAUAGCUUGCCAUAGCAAGCUGUUUGAGUACAAAGUCUUUUUUGGGUGAGCGUGUCCCCUGGGUCGAUGCGUGUGCACCGGCCCACGUGGAGCAGGAGGCCGCAUCCUGGCACACCCAGCCCGCUCCCCUGUGCUUGUGGUUGCCCACCCAGCUGGCAUUCCUGGUGACCUGUGAACUGCUGAGCCUUUGAAUGCAUAAAUGCAUUUGGAAACCUGUUUUACCAAAAAUACUUGAACCUGAAAUGUCCAAUUCAUAUCCCAACAAACUGAUUUGUUGCCAACUGCUGCGUUCACCCUGGCUCAGAUGUCGUGCUUCUCCCGUGAGAAACCUGUGCAGGCUUCCAGAGUGUAGGAGAUUACUGCCGCUUAGGGAACAACAGCACAGAUGCAGUGGAGAUAAGUGGAUUUGUGACUUAAUGAUCCCCUUUCUCCCUUACUCUUCUCCUUUAAGCAAAUGAAAUCUGUAUAAGCAAUGAAUCUAUAUAAAAUUAGAGUGGGAGGAGGAAGGGUUGAAGUAAUAGUCGGAAAACCAUUCUAGGCUGAGUGAAAGCCUCCCAGUGAUGGCACAAAAUAUGUAAAUUCCCUGAAUUUUUACAUCCUUUCCAAGAGAAAUUAUUUAUUUAUUUUUAAUCCUGAAAAUGCCCUUUCUCGGUUGUUUUGGUUAGAUUUACAGUGAAUAUUUGUGUAAUUCAUAUUCUGUUGACCAAAGGAAUGGUUGCUACUGACUGCAGUUAGGGGAGAUUAAAACUUUUGGUUCCUUUUAAAGGAAAACAAGGCUGACCAGUUGUGUAGAAGGGACACUUUCCUCAGCCGGCAGGAAUCAAUCAGAGGUGGAUAUCGGGGAGCCUGAAUCUGGGGAGCAGAGCAGCCACCAAAGCCUUGACAUCUCAGCAUUAGCUCAUGUUUGGUAGUCUCCUGCAUUUACUGCUGCACUAUUGGCUUUGCUUUUUAGGACCACAACUGCCCGUUCCGGGGUCUGUGACACCAGCAUGUCAAAAGAGGUUGGACUGUUCACAGGCUUAACAUUAGGCAUGCGUUUAAACAACUCGCUGAUUCAAGCUUCUGAUCCCAGUUUUCUUCCUGAGAAAAAAUAUUGCUUUCUUCUGUAGGAUGCAGCCAGAGAUGCAUUUAAUCUCACAUUGAUUGAUGUGUGCUAUCCCCAACAUGUAAAGGAAAUGCUUAUAUACUCAUAACUACCUUUAUUUUAGGGAUGUGACUGCACUAAUUCCCCAGGAUAUUUAUUUAUAAAAAAAUUACUUUGAGAGCCUUCUAGUGCAUUGACCUUGUUUCAGGGUUUAGCUGGGAGGAGGGAAGGCUGCUUUUUUUUUUUUUUUUUCUUAAGCACUGCAGGGGAUUUCUGUCAGGUUGCUUUAACACUUCCUCUCAGAUUCUAGCCAGGCUUUCAGGCUAAAGAAUUUUCAAACACAGCUAGCCAUCGUCACAUAGGUCUUGCAUUUG
rnacentral:lncRNA from 1 species